UACGGGGGGGGCAAGCGUUGUUCGGAAUUACUGGGCGUAAAGGGCUCGUAGGUGGCCAACUCAGUCAGACGUGAAAUCCCUCGGCUUAACCGGGGAACUGCGUCUGAUACUGGAUGGCUUGAGGUUGGGAGAGGGAUGCGGAAUUCCAGGUGUAGCGGUGAAAUGCGUAGAUAUCUGGAGGAACACCGGUGGCGAAGGCGGCAUCCUGGACCAAUACUGACACUGAGGAGCGAAAGCCAGGGGAGCAAACGGG
rnacentral:rRNA from 1 species